rnacentral:rRNA from 1 species
AACGAACGCUGGCGGCAUGCCUAACACAUGCAAGUCGAACGAGACCUCCGGGUCUAGUGGCGCACGGGUGCGUAACGCGUGGGAACCUGCCCUUAGGUUCGGAAUAACUCCCCGUAAGGGGUGCUAAUACCGGAUAAUGUCUUCGGACCAAAGAUUUAUCGCCUUUGGAUGGGCCCGCGUUGGAUUAGCUAGUUGGUAGGGUAAAAGCCUACCAAGGCGACGAUCCAUAGCUGGUCUGAGAGGAUGAUCAGCCACACUGGGACUGGGACACGGCCCAGACUCCUACGGGAGGCAGCAGUGGGGAAUAUUGGACUAUGGGCGGAAGCCUGAUCCAGCAAUGCCGCGUGAGUGAUGAAGGCCUUAGGGUUGUAAAGCUCUUUUACCCGGGAUGAUAAUGACAGUACCGGGAGAAUAAGCUCCGGCUAACUCCGUG